CAUCUCCUUCUUGGCCCAACAAGCUCACCUCACGUUAGGCGACACAACGCCCCCUACUGCUCAACUCCUGCUAACCACCCCUCUGUCAGAGGAAUAUCUUAGUUUCACCCUCACAGCCACCAGAGAAUAAAACUAAUCCUCUCCUACUGGAUUUACAGACUCUCUUUCCUCGAGUCUAGGCCAAAUCAACACCCCCGGGACUGGCUAAGCACCAUCCACCAGUGGUAGUAGAACUCCUGGCCACCGCCUUGCCGGUCCAGGUAAAAAAAUAUCCUAUGAUUCAGUGGGCUAGAGAGGGAACCAAUCCCCACAUUCAGCGACUAUUACAAGCUGGUAUACUCACACCAUGUCAGUCCGCCUGGAAUACUCCACUUUUGCUGGUCCCGAAACCCAGAACAAAUGAUUACUGACCUGUACAGGACUUGCGGGAAGUUAACAAGCAGACAGUUACCAUCCAUCCAACUGUCCCUAACUCUUACAAUUUACUCAGCCUCCUCCCACCAGAACAUACAGUGUACACUGUCCUUGACUUAAAGGAUGCUUUCUUUGGUAUUCCUCUGGCCCCCAAAAGCCAAACUAUCUUUGCUUUUGAAUAGACAGAUCCUGGCUCAGGAGACACCACCCAAUUAACCUGGACUCAGUUACCCCAGGGUUUAAAAAAUUCCCCCACGCUUUUUGGGGAAGCCCUCCAACAGGAUCCUACACCGUCCGAGCCAGUCACCCUAACUGCACGCUUCUCCAGUAGGUAGAUGACCUGUUACUGGCUACUGAAACUACUGACAGCCGCCUGCAACAUACUAGGGACCUACUUUACCUCCUUCAGGAAUUCAGGUGUCGGGUCUCAGCCAAGCUUUGUCUUCCCAGUGUUUCCUACUUGAGGUAUGAGAUAAACGAGGGGAAAAGAGCACUCACUAGUGCUCAAAACAAAGCCAACUUGCAAAUCCCCACUCCACCACUGAGACAAGUACGUGAAUUCCUGGGGGCAGUGGGAUACUGCUGCCUAUAGAUAUCGGGGUCCUCAGAAAUUGCCAAGCCCAUGUACACUGCUACUGGAAGGAAUGGCCUGCUAGUUUGGACUGACAAGAACAGGCUUUUCAAAAUCUAAAGAAGGCAUUAACUGAGGCACCGGCUCUUGCCCUCCCAAAUAUCUCAAAACCAUUUCACCUUUUUGUUCCUGAAAGCCAGGGAGUCGCUAAAGGGGUACUCGCUCAGACUUUAGGGCCAUGGCAAUGCCAGCCUAUUUGUCUAAGAGACUGGACCCUGUGGCCUCCGGGUGGCCAGGAUGUCUGCGAGCCCCAGCGGCAACAGCAAGCCUGGUCCGGGAGGCUGAUAAACUCAGUCUGGGCUAGAAUGUAACCCUUAUGGCUCCUCACGCAGCAGAGACUCUGCUACGAAGUGCUUCUGGCAAACGGAUGUCAAAUGCGCGCAUCCUACAGUAUCAGAGUGUCCUGUUAGAUCAGCCUCGUUUAACUUUCUCUCCCACAAGGUGUUUAAAUCCAGCUACCUUGCUCCCCGAUCCAGACCUUACCACACCUGUCCAUGACUGCCAGGAACUGUUAGAAACUGUGGAAACUGCCGGGCGUGGUGGCUCAAGCCUGUAAUCCCAGCACUUUGGGAGGCUGAGACGGGCGGAUCACAAGGUCAGGAGAUCGAGACCAUCCUGGCUAACACGGUGAAACCCCGUCUCUACUAAAAAUACAAAAAACUAGCUGGGCGAGGUGGCGGCACCUGUAGUCCCAGCUACUCGGGAGGCUGAGGCAGGAGAAUGGCGUUAAACCCAGGAGGCGGAGCUUGCAGUGAGCCGAGAUCGCACCACUGCACUCCAGCCUGGGUGACAGAGCAAGACUCCGUCUCAAAAAAAAUAAAAAAUAAAAAAAA
rnacentral:lncRNA from 1 species